rnacentral:rRNA from 1 species
CCUACGGGCGGCUGCAGUGGGGAAUAUUGCACAAUGGGCGCAAGCCUGAUGCAGCCAUGCCGCGUGUGUGAAGAAGGCCUUCGGGUUGUAAAGCACUUUCAGCGGGGAGGAAGGCGUUAAGGUUAAUAACCUUGGCGAUUGACGUUACCCGCAGAAGAAGCACCGGCUAACUCCGUGCCAGCAGCCGCGGUAAUACGGAGGGUGCAAGCGUUAAUCGGAAUUACUGGGCGUAAAGCGCACGCAGGCGGUCUGUCAAGUCGGAUGUGAAAUCCCCGGGCUCAACCUGGGGACUGCAUUCGAAACUGGCAGGCUAGAGUCUUGUAGAGGGGGGUAGAAUUCCAGGUGUAGCGGUGAAAUGCGUAGAGAUCUGGAGGAAUACCGGUGGCGAAGGCCGCCCCCUGGACAAAGACUGACGCUCAGGUGCGAAAGCGUGGGGAGCAAACAGGAUUAGAUACCUUGUAGUC